rnacentral:rRNA from 1 species
GCCCUGCACUUCGGGAUAAGCCUGGGAAACUGGGUCUAAUACCGGAUAUGACCAAAGGCUGCAUGGCUUUUGGUGGAAAGGUUUACUGGUGCAGGAUGGGCCCGCGGCCUAUCAGCUUGUUGGUGGGGUAAUGGCCUACCAAGGCGACGACGGGUAGCCGACCUGAGAGGGUGACCGGCCACACUGGGACUGAGACACGGCCCAGACUCCUACGGGAGGCAGCAGUGGGGAAUAUUGCACAAUGGGCGAAAGCCUGAUGCAGCGACGCCGCGUGAGGGAUGAAGGCCUUCGGGUUGUAAACCUCUUUCAGCAGGGACGAAGCGAGAGUGACGGUACCGCAGAA